UACGAAGGGAGCUAGCGUUGUUCGGAAUCACUGGGCGUAAAGCGCACGUAGGCGGAUGUAUCAGUCAGGGGUGAAAUCCUGGAGCUCAACUCCAGAACUGCCUUUGAUACUGGGAAUCUCGAGUCCGGAAGAGGUGAGUGGAACUGCGAGUGUAGAGGUGAAAUUCGUAGAUAUUCGCAAGAACACCAGAGGCGAAGGCGGUUACCUGGACAGUUACUGACGCUCAGGCACGAAAGCGUGGGGAGCAAAAGGG
rnacentral:rRNA from 1 species